rnacentral:rRNA from 1 species
GACGAACGCUGGCGGCGUGCUUAACACAUGCAAGUCGAACGCUGAAGCUCAGCUUUUGUUGGGUGGAUGAGUGGCGAACGGGUGAGUAACACGUGAGUAACCUGCCUCCUUCUUUGGGAUAACGCCCGGAAACGGGUGCUAAUACUGGAUAUUCACUGGUCUUCGCAUGGGGGUUGGUGGAAAGGGUUUUUCUGGUGGGGGAUGGGCUCGCGGCCUAUCAGCUUGUUGGUGGGGUGAUGGCCUACCAAGGCUUUGACGGGUAGCCGGCCUGAGAGGGUGACCGGUCACAUUGGGACUGAGAUACGGCCCAGACUCCUACGGGAGGCAGCAGUGGGGAAUAUUGCACAAUGGGCGCAAGCCUGAUGCAGCGACGCCGCGUGAGGGAUGGAGGCCUUCGGGUUGUGAACCUCUUUCGCUCGUGGUCAAGCCGCAACAAUGGUUGUGGUGAGGGUAGUGGGGAAAGAAGCGCCGGCUAACUACGU